GGGUGAUCUCAUAUUUGGAGAAACACAGAGCAGAAAGGCAUGGUGGCCGGCAGCAGCCUUGCUGGAGGACUACCUGAGCAGAGGAAGAAAUUAGAAGGGGGUGGGAGCCUUGCCUAAGAAUUUGUUCCAGUCCGAGGUAAAGAGAAGUAUCUGCUUCAAGUCUUGAGCCAAGCCUUUGUAUAGCUAAAGCUGCCCCAGCAUCCUGCCACCCCUACACCUCUUUUAGUAGCCCUUCUGAACACUUCAGAGAGAAAGACUCCAGGAAUCUGCCGUGAGGCUGACAGAGUCUUGGUGCUCCGGCCGGGUGUCAGGCCUGAGCCUCUGAGGUGGGAGAGCCAAGUUCGGGACAUUGGUCCACCAGAGACCUCCCGACUCCACGUAAUAUCAAACGGCGAAAGCUCUCCCAGAGAUCUCCAUCUCAACGCUAAGACCCAGCUCCACUCAAGGACCAGCAAGCUCCAGUGCUGGACACCCCAUGCCAAACAACUAGCAAGACAAAAACACAACCCCACCCAUGAGCAGAGAGGCUGCCUAAAAUCAUACUAAGGUCACUGACACCCCAAUACACACCACCGGACGCGGUCCUGCCCACCAGAAAGACAAGGUCCAGCCUCAUCCACCAGCACACAGGCACCAGUCCCCUCCACUAUAGGAAUUAAAAUAAUAACCUGAUCAGCUCGGUGCUU